rnacentral:rRNA from 1 species
AUUGAACGCUGGCGGCAGGCCUAACACAUGCAAGUCGAACGAGUGGCGGACGGGUGAGUAAUUUCUGGGAAACUGCCCGAUGGAGGGGGAUAACUACUGGGAACCGUAGCUAAUACCGCAUACCAUCGGAUGUGCCCCGAUGGGAUUAGGUAGUAGGUGGGGUAACGGCUCACCUAGGCGACGAUCCCUAGCUGGUCUGAGAGGAUGACCAGCCACACUGGGACUGAGACACGGCCCAGACUCCUACGGGAGGCAGCAGUGGGGAAUAGUGCACAAUGGGCGAAAGCCUGAUGCAGCCAUGCCGCGUGUAUGAAGAAGGCCUUCGGUUUGUAAAGUACUUUCAGUGGGGAGGCGUUACUCGCAGAAGAAGCACCGGCUAACUCCGUGCCAGCAGCCGCGGUAAUAC